AUGGGAUUCCCGUCGCCGGUGUUCUCGGAGUCAGAGGUGCCCAGGUUGCUGCUCAACCUCGUCUUCCUGCUCGCCCGCCUCCGCCGCCUCUCCUCCUGGCUGCUCUGCCUCAUCGGCGCCGGCGUCCACGACGACCGCAGCUUUGACCACCCCACUACUCCCGGCAUCACCAACGACCACCAUCAUCACCAGGGUCAGUACGAUGAUUCUGAAGACCGCUGCCUCGAGGAGCUGGUGAAGCAUUCCCCGGCCAUGCGCUUCGACGCGUUCUCCGGCGCCGGAGACGAAGCUCUGCUGCUGCCGGAGGGGUGCGCGGUGUGCCUCGGCGACUUCCACUGCGCCGCGUGUGUGCGCCGGCCACGCGGGUGUCGGCAUGUCUUCCACCGUGCCUGCCUCGACCGCUGGGCCGCCCACGGCCACAGCACCUGCCCGCUCUGCCGGGCACCCUUCCUCCUGCCGCUGCCGCUCCCGGCGUCGUGA
rnacentral:rRNA from 1 species